UUCUGCUAGAUUUGGAUUAUGAUCUGGAUAUUGAUGACAUUCCAUAUAACAAGCAAGUACGGAACCAACUGGAUCAAAAUGGAAGAAAAACCAGUCACCUUCCGUCUGGUAACAGCAGAGCCGAGUCUUCGUUAACCAAUUUCUGUCUAAUCUUCGUAGUCCUCCUCUUGGGGCUUCUUUCAGUGGACUGAAACUGUGGAUUAAACCCAAUUUCUUAAUCUAGCACUGAACUAGCAAACUGAAUUUGCAAAUUUAUAAUAUUUCUCAAACCAUUGUAAAAAAAUUCUUGG